rnacentral:rRNA from 1 species
CUCGAGGCCAGAUCUAGAGUUUGAUCCUGGCUGAGGAUGAACGCUGGCGGCGUGCCUAAUGCAUGCAAGUCGAGCGACGCAUACCGGAGGGGUAACCCACUGGUAUGACGGAGCGGCGAACGGGUGAGUAACACGUGAGCAACCUGCCCCACAGACCGGGAUAGCCCAGGGAAACUUGGAUUAAUACCGGAUACCCUCGACGGACCGCAUGGUCGGUCGAGGAAAUGCUUUUGCGCUGUGGGAUGGGCUCGCGGCCUAUCAGCUAGUUGGUGGGGUAACGGCCCACCAAGGCUACGACGGGUAGCUGGUCUGAGAGGAUGAUCAGCCACACUGGGACUGAGACACGGCCCAGACUCCUACGGGAGGCAGCAGCAGGGAAUAUUGCGCAAUGGGCGAAAGCCUGACGCAGCAACGCCGCGUGGGGGAUGAAGGCCUUCGGGUUGUAAACCCCUUUCAGGAGGGAAGAAAUUGACGGUACCUCCAGAAGAAGCACCGGCCAACUACGUGCCAGCAGCCGCGGUAAUACGUAGGGUGCGAGCGUUAUCCGGAAUCAUUGGGCGUAAA